AGCCUCUAAGCACAUCUCUCUGCCCAGGAACCCUGCACACCGUCCUGAACACCGUGGGGACGGCCACCUCUUGGCACUGCACACUCAGGCUGCGCUUCCUCCAGGGAACACAGGCUCACUGUCCCCCUCCAGUCCCACACAGAGCCCUCCUGCACCCACCUCUGCCACCACCUUCGCUGCUGGUGACUGCAUACCUGGCCAGGGUGUCCUUCAUAUCCUGCAGAGGACAGGGAGGAGAGCAGGAAAUGGACUUAGCUCUCAACUGCCACCCCCAUGUCAUUCUCUCUUGUCCACUUCUCUGGGACAGAUUAAAAAUGUCCUUUCUGCCAGAAACUGAACUCCCACACCCACCAGGAGUCCCAGGGGCUUACCCUGACCCUGUGCAUGAGGAGGCUGGAAGGCCUGGAGAAGCUGUUCUCCUGUUCCCUUGAUGAUCUUUGUGGCUUCUCUGCCAUGUCUGAAUGUAAGUUUCACUGCUCUUGUACUUUGGGGGCAUUUUAAAGUAAGAUGGGGCUGCUACAGAUGUUGCUACUAUCCGUCUGGUAACAGAAUGGCUAAGAGAUUAAUGGACAGGGAAAUUCAUACAUGGUGUGGGUCUCUGAACAAAGUGGCUGGGAUGCAGCUGGACAGUGAGAUUUCAUCACACUGCUCAGAAUUCCAUGCAAUUUAAAGCUUAUGAUUGUUUAAUUCUGCAGUUUUCUACUUAGUAUUUUUGGGCUGAGGAUGACCAUGGGUAACUGAAACCUUGAAAACUGAGACUGGAUGUGGGGAGCUUCCGCUGUAGGUGCUCCCUAAGUGGGUGCAAGACCAACGAGAUGCACAGAAUUGUCAUGGAGAAGGGAUGCCAACUAUGAAGUGACCAACCCUGUGCUCUGACUCUGAUCACUCCAGCUCCUUCAGUCUUUGAAACCCAUUUUCUCUAGUCGGCUCACUUGCCAUAUCAUGUGGGAUGAGUUUCCUGACUCUAGAACUGAAGGUAAAGCCACCAAGCCCUUUGCUGGGUGUAAUGCCAUGGCUUAUGUCCCAGUACUUCCAGGAUGACCUGUGCCCAGGAGCUCCAGGCCAGCCUGGGCAACAUGGUGGAGGGAGAAAAACCAUCAUGUGGAAGCUGUACUCCCUGUACCAGGGGAGAAGUAACUUGUCCUCAUGGCUGAGGACAGAGGUUGAACUGAAGAAUCUGUACCAGUGGAUCCUGUGAACUGGCCCCCAUCCUCUGGUCACUUCUCUACCUGGCUACCUACCCCAGUCAAGAGCUCCUGUGCUUGUUCUCCACCCUUCAGUUUCCUCCUUGUCCAUGUUGGCAGUCAUCCCCCAGUGCCAUGCCAGGAAAAGGGUACAGGGAGCUGGAGCUGUGGGGGUCAGACCGGGCCUGGGCCUUGGCAGUCUUGUCAGCACUCACCUGUUCUGUCCCAGGAGCCAUUGUACCCUUCCAUGGUGGGGUCCUGCCCAUGGGUGAUACAGCCCACCCACAAACACACUCCUACCCUUGGGGCUUUUGACCUUUGCUCCCCACCUUGUACUCCCGCAGGGCUUCCUCCACAGGCAGCACCCUGUGCUCCCGGUGUUCCUGCGCCUCCCUGCACACGACGCAGAUGGGGCUCUGGUCCUCCAGGCAGAACAGCUUGAUGGGCUCCUGGUGCGCUGGGCACAGGUCCCGCUCCUGCAGCCCAUGGUGUUGCCGUGCCAUCUCUGCCACCUUGGUCAGCAAACGGUUGGGCCGCAGGUUCUGCUGGGGUGACAUCUCCCUGCACUCUGGGCAGGAGAAGAAUCCCUUCUGCCUCCUCCUCCCUUUCUUGCCUUUUGCCUUCUCCCAGUUUGUCUGGAUGCAGGUGCGGCAGAAGUUGUGGCCACAGGCAGUCAUCACGGGGUCCGUGAAAUAGUCAAGGCAGAUGGAGCAUGUGGCUUCCUCUUGCAGCUUUCUGGCCAGUUCUACAGCAUCCAUGGCUCCUGGGAGGACCUCAGGGCCUGGAGGUUAGACCCAAACCCCAGACCUGGGCUGCAGUGGCUCUGUGUGCCAACCCUUUCACAGAGGAGAACUGGGGUUGUGUGAGGGGCCCACACUGACUCUUUCAGUUUUGUUAACAACAAAGAAAUGCCUCUUGGAAACUGCAAAGACCCUUUGACCAGAUGCAUCCAGGAGCCUCUGGCCAUGCACAAAGCACGGCCCAGACCCCACCCUGCUGUCAGUCUCCUGGACACCUGGCCAAGUCCUCAUCCCUCCCAUGAAGCCUAAACCCUGUGCACCCACUAGACCCAUUCAGGGAUAAACCUCUCCACUCUUUCUCUGUCCCUAGCUGCCUUUUCUGUUGGCAUUGAACCUCAUCCCUUCUCUAGGGUGACACUCUUGCUGCAAGAAGCUCCAAUAAAGAGCCCUUUA